CAUAUUCACGAGUCAGCCUUUAUGGCCAUAUAUGCAUAUUGUUCAGUCCUAAUCACUGUGGAACAACACGUGCUCGUCCCAUCUACGCCUUCCGUGAUAUUUACAUGGUUAAACAAGGAUAUAGAAUAGAUUUUUUACUAAGGGGGUGCGAUGGCAAAGAUAAUGAAAUUAUUGUCAACCUAUAUAAUCUAACAAGUUUCUGUCUUAAUCACCACAUCGCUUCCAAAUAGAAGCAUAUGUGAUGCAGUGAUGGGCAUUAUCGAUCUAUGGUUGGCUGAUUAAGUACGUAAAUUCAUCCUACUAAAAGCCAUUUUCAUUUUUGUAUGAAUUUGUAGUCUGACAAACGUUUACACUUUCAUGGAGAGUUUAGACCAUUUUCAUUGUAAUACUGGUAUAGUUGUAUGAUCGAUCAGGAUAAUAAUAUAAAUUAAGGAAGCGACAACUUCAAUUCGUGCCACAAAUAUGUGAGGGAUCCUUGAGACAAGUUAAUAUCGGGAUACAAUAAUACGAGUAUAUGUAACAUUGUAGGGGUGCUCGAAAAAGUUAGUAUCAGACUACAACACGAGUAUUUGGGAGGCAUAUACUAUCAAUUAAUUUAAAGGUGUUAGCGUCUAGAACAAAUCUUGAUCAAGUAAACCGCAAUCCUUACUUUUACAAUCUUGUACACAUUACUUACUAUUCUGCUUAGAGGAGAAACGGGAAAUGAAAGAGCUCUGCUUCCAACUCAUAGGACAUGUUGCAAAACAAAGGCUAUAUAAAUCAUAUAUUUGGAGAUGUAAAUGGAAGAUAUUGAUCAUUGCCAAGCAUUUCCAUCAAAUAUUGACAGAAAGGAAUGAGUUGGCAAAAAGAAAAAAAAAAAAAAAAAAAACUUAUGUCAAGGUAUAUAUCCCACAUCGCCUAAGAAACUUAGUCUAACACAGAAGACUGCCUAUAAAAGGCAAGGCCCAAGAAUUGAUAAAGCAUACCUUUCUCGGCCUUUUGGCUAAGAUCAAGUGUAGUAUCUGUUCUUAUCAGUUUAAUAUCUGAUAUGUGAGCCAUCGGCUCACUCGAUAUUAAUCUUAUUUUUUAUGGGGGAAGACCCAUCACGCUAGCUUGCUAGUGGGGUUCUUCAUGUGUCGCCUUGGUCUUACACUACCACCAAGGCCUGGCACACCCCUCCAAAA